rnacentral:misc_RNA from 1 species
GCCGUGUGCCGUCCUGUCGACGGACUGCGCAAAACACGAAGCAGAUAUUUCUUACAAUCAGCGUAGAUCGAAACGGCAAGUAAGAUUCAUUGCCUUAUCAUUGUCGGAGAAGGAAAGAACGGAGUAGCAGACCUUGAGUUUCAUUUCUCUCAAAUAUUUACUGUGAAAUGAAAUUACUGUACGAGCGAUGGAUCUUGGAGUAUUCUGACUGAAUUUCGUAAUCCCUGAAUAACGAACUAAUCCAUCGGUGGCUCCUCACCAACCGAAGAAGAAUUUGAAAUCCAGAGAAAGUUCGACAGAAAGAAGAACUUAUGAAGAUGUACUUGUCGCUAGAGACGACGAUUCGCUUCGUAAAGACAUCGUCGAGACUGAUGUUCGGUUGGCCGCUGCCUCUUGGCACUAAGCGUAUCAUCAUCCUGAGACGUCGGAUUUUGAGGAUCUUAUCGACGGCUAAUAUAAUAAUUAUAGUUUCAGCACAGAUAUUCAAUAUUUACCGCAACAGAGAAGACCGCCUCAACAUGUUCUUGUGCAUGACAGAGAUGACGGCAAUAUCUGCUGUGAUGGCAUUUCUGAUCAUCUAUCAUAUCGAAGAAGACCGCCUUCGAGCAUUGAUAACCGAAAUGACGACGUUCGUGAGAAAUGCUACGGAUCAAGAACUAGCUGUGAUUGGGUUCUACAUGAGAAAGUGUUCAUUACUCCAUACAAUGGUUAUCGCAGUGAUGGUUCUCGGUGGGAUUGUGUACUCUUUGGCACCCACUGUUCUACCUCAGCCCUUACCGAUUAAGACCGCAUACCCGUUUUCAAUAGAGCUAUUUUGGAUUUGGGCUCUUCUGUACGGCGAAAAUGUUUUCACUGUUCUCCAAGUUUCAUCCGCAGUGUGCACGAGCCUGAUCUUCGUUGAUUUAACCUGGUUCGCCGCUGCCAGGUUUGAUAUCGUGAACACGGAAAUCGAAAGGGCGAGCAACCUGAAUGAAGUCAACAAAUGUGUUCGACAUCACCAAGAAUCGCUAAAGUUUGCGAGCAGACUGUCGAAGACUGUGGGUCGUAUGGCUUUAGCGGUGGCCGCAUCGAACUUCGCUGCAGUUAUGUUUGCAGGAGUCGUGAUCACUUUUAGGCAAUUCUACUUACUUGAUUUCGUCAAGGUGGUGGCCUUCGAGAUGAUGUCGAUGGUCCAUGUUUUUUUGUACGCCUGGCCAGCGGACUACUUGGCUCAGUUGAGUCAACGUCUAUCGGAAUCCGUUUUACAUGGCCAGUGGCUAGGCAAAUCGCCCAAGAUGCAACGCUCGGUAGUGAUGAUGAUGCAAAGGGCCAAUGAUCCAGUCAUAAUCAAAAUCGACGGCCUGCUUCCUGCCUUGAACCUGGAAACGUUUGGAGCUGGGUUAUCAACCAGUUUCUCGUAUAUCGCAACGCUUCUCGCUAUUUUCGGCGAGUGAAUACGGAAGCAGAUAAUCCGCAGGAUCGCAACGAUUUUAUUGCAUCACGACACGUACCCAAUUUUCUGUAUAUCCGCUGGUCUAGUAAUUCAAACCCAGCAGUCGGGCAUCGAAAAUUUCAUUCGACUGUGAUUCUCCGAUUUCAUUUCACAUGACGAGGUGAUCAUACCCACCUAGUCUGAGGUAUAAGAGGAAAAGCAGACGGUUCAAAUUUUUCAUUCGUCUUUGAAUUGCUUGGUGAAAAUUCGGAGAAUAGCCGGUGUAUUGUAACGAUCCUUUUCAAUAAAACAUAAUAGACGUAUAAACCCAUCUAGCAACGAUCCAAGCCAGUUUGCAAGAAGAUUGCUUCAAAAGAUAUUUCCAUCCGUGAAUUCCAAGUCGGAAUUUGCGUCCUUCGUGAUUUUCUGCCAUAUGUCCGGUUCAAAUAAUAAUAACCAUAAAACCAGGACGAUAUUUGUAUUCGAGCAUGACUCACAUUCGGUGCAACCCGACAGAUUUUUGAAGAAACUCGACAGCGUGAAAUAUACCGAAAUUAGUUACACAUUACGUACGAACAUCAAUUGGCCGAUCACUGGUAAAAACGUUAUGGUGUCGAAAUUUUCAUCGGGCCGCAAAUUUGAUGUGUUAUUAGGCGUACAUAUAAGGAUAGGAAAAUCGGUCAAUCUUCCUUCUUUUACGCCUUUCCAUUUACGAGAAAUUUGAAGAUAUAAUCGUCACCGCAGGCGACUUAGACUUAUGUUGAAGGUGUGGAGAUCUCCACACUCGAAAAUUCUCCUGAGUAACAUUGAAUUUCACAAGUAAGAUCAUAACAAUUUUCAGUUUGCUUUUCCUGCUUGAUUCGAUAUGGAAAAAAGCGAUAGACGAGCCAAAAGAUCUAGAUUUGCAGGAACCCAAAUUACCGCGCGUCCGUAGAGCCCCAAAACGUUUGGAGAAAGCUCAAGUGCACGUGUUUAAGACACCUGAAUAAUACAACCGAAAAAUUUUCUACGAGAUUCUUGACCAAGUCAUUACUUCGUUGCAAGUGAGAUAUCGUUCAGAAACAAUGCGAUUUUUGAAUACUUGCGAAGACUUUGUCACUGCCAGAACAAAGAAUGUAGAAGAAAUUGUUGAAUUUUACAAAGA